GGAGGGUUGGCCGAGUCUGGUUGAUGGCAGCUGUCUCGAAAACAGCCAGGGCUUUUCAGCCCUCCUGGGUUCGAAUCCCAGGCCCUCCUCCA
rnacentral:tRNA from 1 species